rnacentral:lncRNA from 10 species
GGCUGGGCCUGCGGGCCGCGGGACAGGGAGGGCGCGGGGCCGGGCUGCUGGGUCCGAGCUCUGGGCACGAUGUCCUCCCUGACGCCGCCAGGACAGCGCCUGGCCCAGGCCUGGGCCUGGUGAACGCGGGUUUCUUCCUCUGAGGAGAGAGGCUCCUUACACUGACAUUCAAAGUCCUCAAUGACCCGGCCCCAGCCUACCUCUGCAGCCUUAUCUCCCUACAAACCAUCAAAGCAGAACAAAAACCUGUCCCUCCGAUUUAGGUUUUAGCAAACCACAAGAAGCACUUCAUAAACUGGUGACUCAAGUAGAAAAGUACUGUUCCACGCACUUGACACCAAUCCACCCAUUUCACCUGCAUGAUCACCCUGCCUUUGCAUGAGUUGCCGGUGUGGACAGAGCAGGGACACAGUGAGACAGCGGAUUCCAGCUUUGCUCUUACCUAGAACACACUGCCUCUCACCAGGAAUCGUCCUUCCAUUUUAUGCAGUUAUCCCAGACAAUGAUGCACAAGCUUUGGGAAAAAAACCCCACAAGUCCAAAGGUGUACUUCAUAAUAAAGCACCUGGUCUCACCGUUGUUCUACAGCACAGCAGGCCAGGCUGGAUUGGAGAGUCACCUUCAAGAGCCAUGAUCACUUCACGAGGACCUCUGCUGGUGUCUCCUCUGCUGUCCUGGAGGUCCCAGAGGACAGGAGCUGUGUCCUGUGACCUGCUGACCGCAACGCGUAGCACCUGGAAGGUGUUCAUAGGAUAGUUCCUCAAAUGAGUCAAUGGACAGUGAAUGGGGAAUGGAGUGGACGGUGGACGGGAGGGCAAGUUGUUUCCAUGAAAGGAGGAAAUUCCUGUGGAGGGAGUGGACAAGGCAUGCCUGUUUGAGCCACGCGCAGAUGAGAACACCUAUGCUGCAUGAGUCAGAAGCAAGUAUCAGAAGAUGAUGGAUCUCAUUACUUAGAGAAAAGAAGGCCUCAAACCCAUUGCACAUGGGUAGGGAGGAUGAAAAGAAACACCCACAGAGUUAAGCCACAACACUGGGAAAACUG